UUCUGAAUUUCUGAGGUUAGGGUUAUUGGUUUUUGGAGCGGUGCUGGGAAAGAGGAAGAAGACCAAGAAGGCAAGAAAGGAAAGGAAAACGAGAAGCUCGGGUGAUGGAGGUAAUGCUGGAGAAGGGUUCCUGGCGGUGGGAUCAAUUCUAGGAGGAGGGGAGAUCAUAGUGGAGGAUAUGAAGCCCGUGUGAAUGACAUAGAAGAAGAGGAGGAGCUCAAGGCUACGGAGAAAAAGGACAAUAGUAGAGUAUCAGAGUUCAUUCUAGCUGAGAUCAACUUUUGUUUUCACGGGACAUGUGAAUCCUCUCUGAUUUGGUUUUGUCUAAAUUUCACAGUGUGAAACCUGGCCAUGUGAAUCCUGAAGUAAAAAAAUGAUGGUUCUGACUUGAUUGAAUGUUAGUAGUGAUGUACAUAAAGAAUCAGCCUGUACCUAGCUGACCAUGCUAAUUCUCUGCAAAUUUGUGUUAAUCAAAAUUUGCACAUACAUACAAGCAAUAUUUCUUCAAUUAAAGAAUAUUCACCUUACGACAAUUUUUGUUUUAUGCUAUUCUUAAGAUAAAAUUUGUAUCGGUGAUGCUAGCUUUAUGUUUUGUGAAUUUACCAGGCAAAUCAAUAAUUGAAAUUCUGCCAAGAAAUCUAGGGGCAGAAGAAGAUGUAUACUUUAGGUGUACGUGAAUCUUUAAGCCGUUCCUUUCUAGGACAAUUUCUAAGACAAUUUUCCUUUUACCCAGAGGUUUACAAGCUUUGGGUGCCUGCGGCCGGCUCGACGGGUGGCAUCAGCAAGCGCCGGCCGGCCUCGGCACUGCUGCGGGUGGUUAUAUAGUCGGCGGAGCACACUAGUGGGCUUCAACGUCAGCGUACGGUGGCGAGCUAAAUCAAAUUCAUGUCCUGACAUCAAAUUUCGAUACGUAAGGAACACGACGUCGUUGCGAUGCCUCCAGAUGCACCAGCAACAGAACAUGAAGAAUGUCAAUGGCAAGGUGAGCGACAUCUAGCAGAUUGCGGACAGAGGCCACGGAAGGUGACCGGAACCCCAACAUGGCCCUGAAAUCAACCACCAAUGGGCAGGCAGAGAGGAGGUGUCUCGCUGACUGCAGCGAGGCAUGGCGGAAUGGGCUACUAUUACACGCUCUAAAAGUGAGGUUUAGAGCAAUUAAAAAGAAUCAAGUUCCUGCUUUUUUCUCCCUGAUGUGAGUGUAUUGGAGUAUAGGGUUCUCCCUGGAGGGUCUUGUAAUCAGUGAGCUAUCUGAGGCAAUGUAUAGAGUUCCAGUUCUGUUUUUCUUGAGAGCCGACCCUGUAAAUUCUAGCUCUGUUUUCUUAGAGCUGAUAUGUAAAUUCUUCAAUGUUUAAAUAAAGUUCAGCCUCAGGCCCUUAAAGAUAA